rnacentral:rRNA from 1 species
AUCCUGGCUCAGGACGAACGCUGGCGGCGUGCUUAACACAUGCAAGUGGGGCGACGAACCAGGCUUCGGCCUGGGGCAAAGCCGCGAACGGGUGAGUAACACGUGGAUAACCUGCCCCGAAGACCGGGACAACCCGGGGAAACCCGGGCUAAUACCGGAUGUGGUCACCGUCCACAAGGACGGUGAGCAAAGGAAGCUUCGGCCUCCGCUUCGGGAGGGGUCCGCGGCCCAUUAGCUUGUUGGUGAGGUAACGGCUCACCAAGGCGACGAUGGGUAGCUGGUCUGAGAGGACGAUCAGCCACACUGGGACUGAGACACGGCCCAGACUCCUACGGGAGGCAGCAGUGGGGAAUCUUGCGCAAUGCGCGAAAGCGUGACGCAGCAACGCCGCGUGAGCGAAGAAGGCCUUCGGGUCGUAAAGCUCUUUCAGCAGGGACGAAGCUCCGGCAGCGAAUAGCUGUCCGGAGUGACGGUACCUGCAGAAGAAGCCCCGGCUAACUACGUGCCAGCAGCCGCGGUAAUACGUAGGGGGCUAGCGUUGUCCGGAAUCAUUGGGCGUAAAGCGCGCGUAGGCGGCCAGAUAAGUCCGGUGUGAAAGUCACAGGCUCAACCUGUGAAUGCCGCUGGAAACUGUCUGGCUAGAGUCCGGAAGGGGCGAGUGGAAUUCCUGGUGUAGCGGUGAAAUGCGCAGAUAUCAGGAGGAACACCAAUGGCGAAGGCAGCUCGCUGG